UCCGUUCGAGGUGGCUGCCAGAGCUUCCGCCAAACUGGUUCAGCGACCGCCGUUGUUUCAUUUUCUUAGUUCGGGUCAUGUUUUGAGCGUCGUAUGUCGCUCUUAAGUUGCUGUGAGUGCUGCGAAAGUGAUCAGGGACUGAGUUUGUGGUUGCUGUUGGUUUCGGGUUAAGAGAAAUGGUUUCGUUGACGCAUUUUGAGUUAUGGUUUCGACGAGUCAAGCUUUACCUUUUCAGGAACCGGAUGAAGAAGCAUUAAGAAGUGUCAUACUG